rnacentral:lncRNA from 10 species
AAAUGGUACUUUACUCUAGCUGCGUAAGACUUUGGACACAGCAUGAGUGGGACACAGCAUGAGCUCCCUCUCUGGAGCAGUGCCAUUGCUUACUCUCCAGUCUCCAGGCAGUUUCCUAUGUUAGCUUCAGAGCCUAUGAAGUUUAAGGGGCUCUCUCGUGGCUGGUAUUGCAGUUCACAGUGGGAAUUUCAACCACUGAGGAGUACUUCACUUAUCCUUUUCCCACACUGGGGAGUCUCUCCAAGCUCAUAGCUGAUCCCCGCCAAGCAGGCUGCUUCACUUCCCUCUCCUUUUUCGCUUUAGGUGUUUCCUGUCACAUCCCUAUUGAAUUCCAGUGUUAUCCAAUGAUCUAUUGAAAAUGUGAUUACCUACUCGCUAAUUAGUCUCCUUUUUACAGAAGAGUUCUGAUGGAUUGCCCUCUUCUCUGAUGUUCAAAAUUAAGUUUAAAUUCUACUCUUCAGCACGUGGAAAGCAAGACCCCUGAGGGCGCAGGUUUUAGUCAACUUUCAUUCAGUGCCGCUUCUACAGAGUUGAACACUUUCCGGUACAUUAAAUGCUCUCGGCGUAUGAAGCAGAGUGGAGGAAAUCUAAAUCUUCCAAACUGAAAUGUAAAUGUAAGAGAGCUAUCCAAGCUCAUCUGCAGACCAAUAAGCAAGAAAAAGAAGUGCUUCUUUUAGUAAGUCCUUGUUUUAAGGUAAUUAGUCAUACUGCAUUAUUGAAGAAAUUGAUAAAUGAGUUCAUACUGAAUUUGAAGGUUUCAGAUGGAAAUAUAUUGAAAAUAAUUAAAAGGUUAAAAGAGAGUUAUGUCCUUGAGCUUACAGAUUUCAGAGUCAUGCUCAUAAAAUUUAUGGUUAAAGAGGAGACAGUAAAAAUCAAUAAAAUAAAAGGCUGACAAUUGAAUCAUUACUAUUAAUAGGACUAAGAAAAUGUAGUCAGUAAAGAAGAAAAAGAGAAAAAAUACUUUUGCAGCAUUCCCCAGUGGCAAACAGAAGUUCUAUUGAGAUAUGACCUUAGCUUCAAAUUCUAGGUCUGAAAUAUUUGACUUACAACCUCAAAUAAGUUACUAAAUGUCUAUUAGCAUGUUUUUUGUUUCAUCAGUAAAAUAGGAAUAAUAUUUAUUCUAUAUGGUUGUUCUAGAAUUUUAUAAUAUAUAUAAACUCUAGUGUAGUGACUGGCAUGAUAAUUUUUACUUAAACUUCAUUUUUGUCCAAUAGAUCUUUCUGUGAUUAAACUGUUUUAUAUCUGUACUAUAUAAUAUGGCAGCAGCUAACAAUAUGUGGGUAUUAAACAAUUAAAAUGUAACUACAUUGCAAGACUUUAAAUACAUGUAGAAUUUUAUAUAUGCAAUGAUAGCACAAAAAGGCAGUUUUAAAAUUUAAGUGUUCUAAAGUCAUUAAAUUUUUCAGUAUGUGGUAAAAGUACUAAUAUAUAUUGAGCUUUGAUAAAUCAAAAUGCAUUUUGAUUUUUAGGUAAUAACUACCAAGGGAUAAGUAAAAGGAGGUUUGACUUACAAAUUAAUGGAGGCAAUGAAACUUAAAAGUCACUAUUAUGGAAGGGUGAGGCCAGAGGAUCACUUGAGCCCAAGAGUUUGGGGUUACUUUGAGCCAUGAUUGCACCGUUUUACUCCAGCCUAGAUGACAGAGUGAGACCCUGCCUCAAAAAAUAAUAAAUAAACAGUAACAUUUUAAAAAAUUCAUUAAUGAACUAAAGAUAAGAAAAAAAACAAACAACAAAAAACCAGCAGGGAAAAAAAAAGCAAAGAAUAAAUACAUCAGUAUGUAAAUUAAAUGUAAAUGAAUUCAUUAUACCAAUUAAAAGACAAAGAUUAUCUGACCAACUGGAGACUUCUCAAAGAACUUAAAAUAGAACUACCAUUUGACCCAGCAAUCGUAUCACUAGAUACAUAUCCAAAGGAAAAUAAAUCAUUCUACAAAAAAGACACAUGCAGUCAGAUGUUCUUCAGAGCACUACUCACAAUAACAGACAUGGAAUUAACCUCGGUGCUCAUCAAGGGUGGAUUGAAUCAAGAAAAGUAAAGUGGCACAUACCCAACAUGGAAUAUGAUGCAGUCAUAAGAAACAACGAAAUCCUGUCUUUUGCAGCAACAAGAAAGCAGCAGAAACAAUCAUCCUAAGUGAAUUAACACAGGAACAGAAAACCAAAUACUGCAUGUUCUCACUUAUAAAUGGGACCUAAACACUGGGUAAACACGGACAUAAAUAUGGUAAAAAUGGUCACUGGGAACUACUAGAGGGAGGGGGGCAAGAGCUGAAAAACUGCCUAUUAAGUACUAUGCUCACUACAUGGGUGAUGGAAUCAUUUGUACCCCAAACCUCAGUGUCAUGCAGUAAAUUCAUGUAAUAAAUUUGUACAUGUAUCUCCUGAAUCUAAAAUAAAAAUUGAAAUUAUGUAUAUUUUUAAAAUACUUAAAUGAGCAAAAACAGUCUUGAAAACAAAAACAUUUGGAGAUUUCCCGACCUGAUUUCAAGCCUUCCUACAGUUUCAUAAAAAUUAAGACAGUGUAAUACCAAUGUAAAUAUAUUGAUCACAGAAGCAAGUAAAGUACAGAAAUAAUUGAGUCUCAACGACGGCAUCAAAGUAAUCCAAUGGGGUAAAAAAAAUUUUUUAACAAAUAGUGCUAAAAAAGUUUGAUACUUAGUCUUUUAUUUAAAAAAAAGAUAUUUGGCUCCUUAUUCCAUGCACAAAAUAUUAAUUUGAGACAAAUGAUAUGCCAAAAGAUAAUCACUAAAGCCAUAAAUGCUCUAGAAGAAAACUUAGGACACUAUCUUUCUUACUUUAAAUUGUCACAGAUUUUUUUAGGCAGAAUACACAGAAAUACUAACAACAAAAUAUUGAUAAUUUAGACUUCAUUAAAAUAUAAACGUCUGUGUUUUAAAAAAAUCACUAGAAAGUUAAUGGCAAGAUAGUCUGUUGAAAAUAUUCACAAUAUACUAGAUUUGACAAAAGACUCAUGCCCAGAAUAUAAAAAUAACCUAUUUAACUGUAAAGACAAUAUAAUAAAAAUAGUCAAAAUUCAAAAACAGAAGAUUAAAACUGGAAAAAAAGCAUAUUUAAAUAUGUUGAACAUCAUUGAUCAGUGGGUAAAUGCAAAUCAGUACCACCAUGAGAUAUCUCUUCAUUUCCUCUAGAAAUAAAAUUUAAAAGAAUGACAGCACAAAAUUGUUGGUAAGGAUAUGAAGGAGCUAGAACUCUCAUACAUUGCUUAUUGUAGAUCUAUUUGACCCAACAAUUCUCACCCAAAGAACUGAAAACCCAUGCCCACAAUAUUCUUAUACACAUGUUCAUAGCAUCUUUAUUCAUGAUAGUCCCAAAUUGAAACAACCCAAAUGUCUACCACCAGGAAUAUAAACAUCACUAAUAUGAUAUUAAACAAAAAUAGAAAAACAUGAAGAUAAAUUUUGUGUAGCAACAAAUAAUUUGUUGAGAGUAACAGCUGGAAAAGGAAAAGAGAGGAAGCAGGAUUGAGCAAAGGGAGUCCUCAGCGGAUGAUACAAAUCUGACUAAGCUUUGACCAACCCCGUGGGGCGCUCUAGAGCAAAGACUGGCAAUUAGUGCAACCCAGCUUUGAGUAGAAAUCACUUGGCCCUUGUACCACAAGCUUCUUCAGUAAUUGACUGAAGGAUAGUCCAAGAAAACUAUGUCCUUAAGCUACUGCCACCUGACUUAGUCAUUGUCUAGGGAUUGCCAAAUAUAGUGUGGCCUAGACUGAAAAGCCGAGACAGGCGAUGCAGAAGCUCACAACUAGAGGCUGGCAGCUAACCACAUUCCUUGCAGCUGGCAUGGAGCUCUUUCUGGAAGUGGUAUUUAAGCAACAC